GAUGACGCUGGCGGCGUGCCUAAUACAUGCAAGUCGAGCGAGCGGCGGACGGGUGAGUAAUGUCUGGGGAUCUGCCCGAUAGAGGGGGGUAACUACUGGAAACGGUGGAUAAUACCGCAUACUAUCGGAUGAACCCAUAUGGGAUUAUAUCGUAGGUGGGGUAAAGGCUCACCUAGGCGACGAUCUCUAGCUGGUCUGAGAGGAUGACCAGCCACACUGUGACUGAGACACGGCCCAGACUCCUACGGGAGGCAGCAGUGGGGAAGAUUGCACAAUGGGCGCAAGCCUGAUGCAGCCAUGCCGCGUGUAUUAAGAAGGCCUUAGGGUUGUAAAGUACUUUCAGCGGGGAGGCGUUACCCGCAGAAGAAGCACCGGCUAACUCCGUGCCAGCAGCCGCGGUAAUAC
rnacentral:rRNA from 1 species